AACCAGAGUGUUGAGUUCAGUUCUGGGCUUGAUCCCCAGUUCUGCUAAUUAACCUCUGGGACAGAAAACGGCUGAGAGUUAAUCAUCAUGAAGUGGUGUUUGACCUCUUUCAUCAAACUCCAGCCGACACCA